rnacentral:rRNA from 1 species
AAAAGCGCUCGAAAAGGGCGUCUAAUACUGGAUAUUCAUAUGCUGUCGCAUGGUGGUGUGUGGAAAGUUUUUCGGUCAGGGAUGGGCUCGCGGCCUAUCAGCUUGUUGGUGAGGUAGUGGCUCACCAAGGCUUCGACGGGUAGCCGGCCUGAGAGGGCGACCGGCCACACUGGGACUGAGAUACGGCCCAGACUCCUACGGGAGGCAGCAGUGGGGAAUAUUGCACAAUGGGCGGAAGCCUGAUGCAGCAACGCCGCGUGCGGGAUGACGGCCUUCGGGUUGUAAACCGCUUUCAGCUUUGACGAAGCGCAAGUGACGGUAGGAGCAGAAGAAGGACCGGCCAACUACGUGCCAG